AUUGAACGCUGGCGGCAGGCCUAACACGUGCAAGUCGAGCGGAUGAAGGGAGCUUGCUCCUGGAUUCAGCGGCGGACGGGUGAGUAAUGCCUAGGAAUCUGCCUGGUAGUGGGGGAUAACGUCCGGAAACGGGCGCUAAUACCGCAUACGUCCUGAGGGAGAAAGUGGGGGAUCUUCGGACCUCACGCUAUCAGAUGAGCCUAGGUCUGAUUAGCUAGUUGGUGGGGUAAAGGCCUACCAAGGCGACGAUCCGUAACUGGUCUGAGAGGAUGAUCAGUCACACUGGAACUGAGACACGGUCCAGACUCCUACGGGAGGCAGCAGUGGGGAAUAUUGGACAAUGGGCGAAAGCCUGAUCCAGCCAUGCCGCGUGUGUGAAGAAGGUCUUCGGAUUGUAAAGCACUUUAAGUUGGGAGGAAGGGCAGUAAGUUAAUACCUUGCUGUUUUGACGUUACCAACAGAAUAAGCACCGGCUAACUUCGUG
rnacentral:rRNA from 1 species